UACGUAGGGGGCUAGCGUUAUCCGGAAUUACUGGGCGUAAAGGGUGCGUAGGUGGUUUCUUAAGUCAGAGGUGAAAGGCUACGGCUCAACCGUAGUAAGCCUUUGAAACUGGGAAACUUGAGUGCAGGAGAGGAGAGUGGAAUUCCUAGUGUAGCGGUGAAAUGCGUAGAUAUUAGGAGGAACGCCAGUUGCGAAGGCGGCUCUCUGGACUGUAACUGACGCUGAGGUUCGAAAGCGUGGGUAGCAAAUAGG
rnacentral:rRNA from 1 species